UGAAGAUGCAUGCUUUAAAGGAGACAUAACAUGAAAAACCCACUUUUUUAUCCAUUAACACGGUGUGUUUCACAUUUUAAGUGUCUAAGUGAGCAAAAAGGCUUAUAUUAUUCACUGGAGUUGCUAUUUAGAUAUUUAAUAAUUAAGUUUUGGGCAUAUUUGUCCACCCGUUCAGUUUUUACAUUAUCUAUUACAUCAGUAAUUAAUUUAGUGAGGAUAACUACCAAAUAUGGUAAUGGCCCUCGGCUAAACACAGAGCCAAUCCGCCAUUUUUUCUUCUCGCUAAGAUUUUUUGUAGUCCUAUUGGAAAAAUGCAGAAUGUCUGGUUAUUUUAGCCACACACAGCUCAAAACUGUUCCUCGUUUUAAGGAAGGGUGGUGUGGCAGUAUUUAAACCCAGGAGCUGAUGACACUACUGCUAAAAAAACACAGAAGAAAAAGUAGUGUGUUUGCGUUUGUUUGUUUGUGUGUGUGUGUGUGCGUGCGCGCGCGCGCGCGUGGUUCGUUCUGUCUCCAGGCUAGUGGCUAAGUACUGAGGGCUUCAUCUAUCUAAAAGGAGUUAUUUCCAUCUGAAUUUGGCAGCACCGGGACACAGCAGCAGAGCGAGUCCACAUCCAGAAGACUGGAGCCGUGUUUCACUGACAGGCUGUCAGACUAACGCCCUGAUGAGCUCAGCUGGGACAAACUGGUCUGAUGUUUAGGAACACAGAACGUUCAGAUGUUGGCGUUUCACGUCACCUACUGAGGAAGGAGACCCACCAGUAAAGAGAUGGUCUGGAUCAGACCA